CGCGUAAAAAUUAAACUGGCUCCAAAAUUUUGCCACAAAAACACGUUCCUUCCCAUCACCCCAGAGAUUUCAACUGCUCACAACUCUCAACUCACACUCUCUUCGGUUCACGGUGGUUCAGCGGUGGCAUCUUCUUCAGUUUUUCCCGGUGAUUUGUGAUUUCCGACGAGAUAUUGGACGUUUCUCAGGCGGUGAUGUGGGUGGCUGCCGGAGAUCAACGGUGAGGCUAGCGGCGAUUUCAGCGGCAAGAUAGGCAUAAAAGUAAGGAUGGGACUACUUGUUGGGAACCGAUUGCUGAAAAACAAUAUGAAGAAUUGAAAAAACUUCAUGAAACUCACAUUCAGGAGCAUGGUGAGGAUAAUCUCAAUGUGAAAGAUGCUUACAUUAAAGCUUUAAAAUGUAAAUCUGGGUAUGUGAGAGGACUUGGUCUUGGAGCUCGACCACCAAAAAAAGGUAGAACUGGAGAGAACAAUGAACGAGUUGUCUACCCAAGUUGACACUCUUGCUGCAUCAAACGAGGAACUUAGAGCAUCAAAUGAACAUCUAAAAGCAUCUAAUGAAGAGCUUAAAGCAUCUAAUGAAGAGUUCAAGGCAUCCAAUGAAGAGCUUAGAGCUGAAUUUUCUAAAUUGAACAAAAAAGCUAUUGAAUGUGAAAAGAAAAUGAGAGAAGAUAUGCUGAAAAUGUUUG